rnacentral:rRNA from 1 species
UACGUAGGGUGCGAGCGUUGCCCGGAUUUAUUGGGCGUAAAGGGCGCGUAGGCGGCUACGCACGUCCGUUGUGAAAUCGCUCGGCUCAACUGGGCGGGGUCAGCGGAUACGGCGUAGCUGGAGCAAGCUAGGGGGCAAUGGAAUUCCCGGUGUAGUGGUGGAAUGCGUAGAUAUCGAGAGGAACACCAGUGGCGAAGGCGGUUGCCUGGAGCUUUGCUGACGCUGAUGCGCGAAAGCGUGGGGAGCGAUCCGG